UACGUAGGGGGCGAGCGUUGUCCGGAUUUAUUGGGCGUAAAGCGCGUGUAGGCGGCUCGGUAAGUCUGCUGUGAAAGUCCAGGGCUCAACCCUGGGAUGCCGGUGGAUACUGUCGAGCUCGAGUCCGGAAGAGGCGAGUGGAAUUCCUGGUGUAGCGGUGAAAUGCGCAGAUAUCAGGAGGAACACCAAUGGCGAAGGCAGCUCGCUGGGACGUGACUGACGCUGAGACGCGAAAGCGUGGGGAGCAAACAGG
rnacentral:rRNA from 1 species